rnacentral:tRNA from 1 species
GGAUGGGUGGCAGAGUGGUCGAUUGCGCACGCCUGGAAAGCGUGUAUACCGAAAGGUAUCGGGGGUUCGAAUCCCCCCCCAUCCGCCA